rnacentral:misc_RNA from 1 species
AAGUCGUAACAAGGUUUCCGUAGGUGAACCUGCGGAAGGAUCAUUCACACCUGAAGGGAGGGGAUGUCACAGUCCUCUUCUUUUCCCUCUUUCACAUUACACCCAAUAUGAACUGUUCAAAUAUGGCCUCAGUUUAGCUUCUCUUCUUGGAACUGGAGCACUCUGGGAGUGAUAGUUGGUGAAGGCGAGGUGGCGGUGAAACGUCGCUGAGUUGACAUCAAUGCAAAAUCAAUUGAUUUUUACCCAACCCAACCCCCGUCGUCGGUUGUGAGCUCUGCUUGCUUCUGAUUGUCAUUCUUGUACCUAAGUCUGCUUCUCUAUCCUGGUAGUUCUAAGCACCGGAUGGGGAGUAUGGAAAAGACAUGUUUACGUCGAACACUACUUCUAUAUCUUUAGAAGCCAAUACAACUCUUUGCAAUGGAUAUCUUGGUUCUC